AUUGAACGCUGGCGGCAUGCUUUACACAUGCAAGUCGAACGGCAGCGCGGGCUUCGGCCUGGCGGCGAGUGGCGAACGGGUGAGUAAUAUAUCGGAGCGUACCCAAGAGUGGGGGAUAACGUAGCGAAAGUUACGCUAAUACCGCAUACGAUCUAAGGAUGAAAGCAGGGGACCGCAAGGCCUUGUGCUCCUGGAGCGGCCGAUAUCUGAUUAGCUAGUUGGUGAGGUAAAGGCUCACCAAGGCAACGAUCAGUAGCUGGUCUGAGAGGACGACCAGCCACACUGGAACUGAGACACGGUCCAGACUCCUACGGGAGGCAGCAGUGGGGAAUUUUGGACAAUGGGGGCAACCCUGAUCCAGCAAUGCCGCGUGAGUGAAGAAGGCCUUCGGGUUGUAAAGCUCUUUUGUCAGGGAAGAAAAGGCUGUGGCUAAUAUCCACAGCUGCUGACGGUACCUGAAGAAUAAGCACCGGCUAACUACGUGCCAGCAGCCGCGGUAAGAC
rnacentral:rRNA from 1 species